CAGACAGCUUAGCCAAGCUCGGGCUGAAAACGGAGGAAUCAGAAGAAAAGAAAGUGGAGGAGAAGGAGAAGCCAUCUCUUGCACCUCCUGCAGGAGCCAGGAAACA
rnacentral:snoRNA from 1 species